AGAAUAUCUACCCUGUUACACACUUCUGUGUCAGCGGCAACCAGGCAAACCUUACCUACCAAACCUUCUCCUAUGUCACUUACAAAGAUAUUAAAAAUAAUAAGACCCAGGACAGACUCUUGAGGUCCACCACUUGUAACUUGUCUCUCCCCAGAAUGCACACGAUUAACAACAACCCUCUGGUGUCUAUUCAACAGCCAACUGCGCAUCCACUGAACUAUCCAGAGAUGAUGUCCAA